AUUCUGGUCGGGAUCGGUAUUCACCUCCCCAUUCAACUUUCAUUUUAAUACCCGCGUAUUCUCCUUGACAGCUGACAGGCUAGGUGAAGGGUUGAUGCUUCACAGGAAGACGGUUCGUUUGGACGCCUGUUAAACGAUGACCAUCUUCAUCCAAAUUGUAAGCCAAAAGUCAUUGAGAUAGAUGAGAAGCCAGUUAUUUGCUUUUACUCUCUAAAACCAAUACCUCCAGAUACAGAACUGUUGUAUGAUUAUGGGCCUGGUAACAUCAAUCCUUGGAGAAGAAAGAGGAAGUAAAGGAUAUUGAUGCCAGUUCUUGUGUGGAUGAUGAGGAUCAGAGUGAGGAGGAAAUAGAUGACAGUCAAGACAACCAGAAUUUCCAAACUGUGACUCCAGGGAAGAGGGAGACGGUAUCUGAUAGCGGAUGCUCCAGAGAAAUGGAUGAGUCUUCAUUUAAGUGACAGAAGUUACAGAAAAAGCCAUGAACUUCAUCUGAAAUGAACUCCAUUCACAAACAUUUUUCACACUUUAUUACCAUGUUGAAGGUACCUGGGAAAAAUGAUGUAACAAAUGUUUUGAAAAAAGAUAAAAACCUUUCAAAAAGAACUUGGAGAAAUGUAAGAGACUAAGUCUACAAUCUAAUUAAAAAACAGAGAAAAUGUUGAUUUCGAUACUACUUUGAUUGUUCACUAGAAUUGAUGGUAUCUGUAUGAAAAAUGAUAUUUUUGUUUACAGUUCUUACAAUUUACAUAAAUUGUACAUAAAAGAAUUUGUUGAAUCAUUAUCAAAAUAGAUUUUGACAAAUUUCAGCUUUUUAGCUCAUAUGAGCCUAAGGCUCAAGUGAGCCUUUCUGAUCAAAAUUUGUCUGUUGUCUGUCGUUGUUGUGACCGGAAGGUCGGAUGUUCGAAUCCCUGCUGCGACUUGACCUGAGUCAAUAAGAAAUAGGUAGCAACUGUUCCAUGGCCAAGCGCUCAACACAUUGAAAUAAUAGUUUCAGGUCUUUCAUAUGAGACCUUAAAAACUGAGGUUCCGUGUCAUGGCAGGUGUUGGCAUGAUAAAGAUCCCUCACUGCUCGAUGGCCCUAAGUUCCGAGUAAAGGUCUAAAUUUGAAGCCCUUUGCUGGUAUAUGGUGAGGUCUCUAUAUGACUGAAAAUCUCAAACGGGAUGUAAAACAAUAUACAAUCAAUCUAUCAAUCAGUCAUUAUCAACUUUUUACAAUAUCAUCUUCUUCUCCAGAACCACUGGGGCAGUUUCAACCAGACUUGGCACAAAUUAGGAAUUCAAGUUUGUGCAAAUGAAGGACCACACCGUCUUUCAAGGGAAAAUAAUUAAGAAAAAGUAAAAUUGGGUGUUGUCAUUCAAAAAUCUUCUUCUCAAGAACCUUUGGGUCAGUAAAGAUGGAAGUUAAAUGAAAGCUUUCUGACAAAGUGUAAAUUCAAUUUAUUCAAAUCAUGAUCCCGGGGUAUUGGUGGAGCCAUUAUGGGCAAUCAAAGUUUUACAUAGGAAAAAUCUUUAAAAUCUUCUUCUUAAGAACAGCAGAGUCAUAAUCAGUCACAUUUAUAUGGAAGCAUCGUCAGGUAGUGUAGAUUCAAGUUUGUUCAAAUCAUGACCCCUGGGAGUAGGGUGGGGCCAUUAUGAACUAUCAAUACCUAGGAAUACAUAGGAAAAAUCCUUAAAAUUUAUUUCUCAAGAACAGCAUAGCAAUGAUAAUUCAUUUUAUAUGGAGGUAUCCUCAGGUAGUGUAGAAUCAAGUGUGGUCCAAUUGUGGCCCUGAGGUAGGGUGGGACAACUAUGGGCGGUCAAUUUUUUUUUUACACAGGAAUACAUAGCAAAAUUCUUUAAAAUUAUUUUCCCCAUGAAUAAAAAAGUAAUGAUUAGUCAUAUUUAUAUAGAAACAUCCUAUGGUAAGCAUAGAUUCAAGUUUGCUCUAGUCAUGAAUCCCCCCCACUACCUCCUGGGCUACAAUGAGUAAUCAAAUAAAGUUUUUCAUAGGAAUAUGUAGGGAAAAAAAUAUUUUGAUUAAAAACAAGAAUGGUCAUAAUUACUCAGGUGAGCAUUGUGACCCAUGGGCACAUUGUUUAAUCAAAAUGCAGAGAAUAUGUUAAUUUGCAUAUUACAUGUACAUGUAAUAUUGAUCAAUUGGUCAUGUGAUAUAAUUUUAUAUCUGAAAUGAAAUGAUGACAAUUGUAUGAAUGAUGAUGAGUUUAAAGACAGAUUCUUUAACACAUGUAUUUUAAAGAAAAAAAUUGUCUGGAGGUAUUUUGGAAAUUUACUUUUUAUAGUAUUGUAAUAAAUGUUUGUUUUCAUGCUAUGUUGAAGGUCGAGUAUCUACGAACACAACUGACUUGAAUGAACAUCAGAAGUAUUAGAUAAUGUAUUUACAACUGAAACUGUAAUAGAAUUUUAUCAAUUAAUUUGAUAAUAAAUUUUGAUUUUUUACCUAAAUUUAAACAUUUUGUUUCUUAGUAGAUCAGACAACAUUUAAAUCAUAAGAUUUAAGCAUGAUACCCAUAGGCCAUUUUACUUAAACUGCUUGUAUUGACUGAAUGGUUCAGUACUUUUUUGUCAGUCAAUAACUUAAUACCUCAGUAUGUGAGCAGGUCCGGGAGAAUGGUGUCUGGUGUGAAUAAGGGACAUGCAGUCAAUUUGUAGCUCAUGGAUCUAAAAGAGGAAUAAAUAUGAUAUACGCUC